GUCCAAUAUCAUUUGUAUCAUCAUUCAUAAAAGAUACAAUACUAGAGAAAAAAUCAGGUGCACCAUUACCAAGUGAAAGAAGUGUAACACCAGCAAUGAUAGGUGAAAGUUUCAAGCUUUUUGAUAAUCCAUCAAGUGAAGAACAAAAAUAAGUACUAGCAGUAUCACCUAAUAAAUAGAAAAGUAAAAUUAACCAAAGUGCUAGUAAAAUAUAACCAAGAAUAGGGCUAAAAGUGCAAUAGAAAAGUUGUAGAUAAAAAAUAUAUCCAUUAGGUUUACACCCUUCAUGGGAUUUAACAUAAGUGCACUUCUCAUCACUAGUAACAAAUUUUUCAAUACCUUUACAACCAAUAUCAUUGCUUUUCAAGAAAUUAGUUUUUUGGGGAAUUGUGAAAGUGUUGUUUGGAUAGAAAUUGGAAUUUGAUGAAUAGAAAUGAAAUGUGAGACAAGAAAUUAUAACAAGGAAGAUGAUAUUGAAGAAUAAAGAUAGAAUCUUG
rnacentral:misc_RNA from 1 species